rnacentral:rRNA from 1 species
GCUGACGAGUGGCGGACGGGUGAGUAAUGUCUGGGAAACUGCCUGAUGGAGGGGGAUAACUACUGGAAACGGUAGCUAAUACCGCAUAACGUCGCAAGACCAAAGAGGGGGACCUUCGGGCCUCUUGCCAUCGGAUGUGCCCAGAUGGGAUUAGCUAGUAGGUGGGGUAACGGCUCACCUAGGCGACGAUCCCUAGCUGGUCUGAGAGGAUGACCAGCCACACUGGAACUGAGACACGGUCCAGACUCCUACGGGAGGCAGCAGUGGGGAAUAUUGCACAAUGGGCGCAAGCCUGAUGCAGCCAUGCCGCGUGUAUGAAGAAGGCCUUCGGGUUGUAAAGUACUUUCAGCGGGGAGGAAGGGAGUAAAGUUAAUACCUUUGCUCAUUGACGUUACCCGCAGAAGAAGCACCGGCUAACUCCGUGCCAGCAGCCGCGGUAAUACGGAGGGUGCAAGCGUAAUCGGAAUUACUGGCCGUAAAGCGCACGCAGGCGGUUUGUUAAGUCAGAUGU